CACGUAGUUAGCCGUGGCUUAUUCAAGGGGUACCGUCUUCUACUCUUCCCCCUUAAAAGAAGUUUACAACCCGAAAGCCUUCUUCCUUCACGCGGCGUUGCCGGGUCAGACUUGCGUCCAUUGCCCAAUAUUCCCCACUGCUGCCUCCCGUAGGAGUCUGGGCCGUAUCUCAGUCCCAAUGUGGCCGGCCAACCUCUCAGUCCGGCUACUGAUCGUCGCCUUGGUGGGCCGUUACCUCACCAACUAGCUAAUCAGACGCGAGGCCAUCUUCCAGCGAUAAAUCUUUGACAUCAAAGCCAUGCGACUUCAAUGCAUCAUGCGGUAUUAGCAGUCGUUUCCAACUGUUGUCCCCCUCUGGAAGGCAGGUUCCUCACGCGUUACUCACCAGUCCGCCACUAAGCAUUCCCAUCCGUUGUCCGAAAACUCCUUCAGGGUGCUCCGUUCGACUUGCAUGUGUUAAGCACGCCGCCAGCGUUCGUCCUGAGCCAGGAGUACAAACUCU
rnacentral:rRNA from 1 species